ACAUAACGCAGGAAUCUGUGACUUUGCUUUAAAUUGUUAUCACACAAAAAAAAGUGCAGCGAAAUUUAGACGAAGCCCCGAAAGUCUAUCUAACGGUUGUUUGUGUAACAGAGCGAAACAACAUCCGGGUACCAGUUUAAAAUACUAUGAGGGACUAUUCUUGCGGAAAGUGACAGAAACAAGUAAAACUCCCAAUUAUUUUCCUGUCCUAAGGAAGAUUUACUUUUUAUCUUGAGUUGCCUAUUGAUCAAGUCCAAUACUACCUUAUGAGUCAUAUUAGAGGGAACACCAUGGUGAACGUAGGACAAAACAUUUUAAGUUUUUACAUCUUGUUAACCCUAACUCAGAACAUACAAGGCCAAAAUACGAGUACGCCUCACAUCGUUCUGAUUGUAGCAGAUGAUUUGGGAUGGAAUGAUGUUAGCUGGAAUAAUCCCGACAUAAAAACACCUAACUUAGAACGUCUAGCGCUAGGUGGCGUCAUCCUGAACCAGUCUUAUGUCCAACCGGUUUGUACGCCGUCAAGGACAGCAUUUAUGACCGGCUACUUUCCUUAUCACGUUGGUAGACAGAAUACUUACAUUCACCAUUUGCAGCCCUCUGGUGUCUUCCUGAAUUACACAUAUUUACCUGAAAAAUUAAAACAACUCGGAUAUUCAACCCAUGUUGUAGGGAAGUGGCACCUGGGGUACUGUAAUUGGUCGUACACCCCAACUUUUCGAGGAUUCGAUUCAUUUUUCGGUUACUAUUUGGGUUCAGAAGACUAUUACACUCACGAAACACAUCCUUCAGAGUUCAAGAACCGAGGUUUGAAUGAACAGUUAUUCCUAGAUUUCCGCAACAACACAAAACCGGCCAAAGGAUAUGAUGGCAUUUACUCUACUCAAGUCUUCUCUAAAGCAACGACGGAGUUGAUUUCAAGGCUAAGUCCCAGGGUUCCAACGUUUCUCUACUUACCAUUUCAAGCAGUUCAUUCUCCGUUAGAGGUGCCUCAGAAGUAUCAAGAUAUGUAUAACAACAUUAAAGACGUGAACAGAAGGAAAUACAGUGGAAUGGUUACCGCUUUAGACGAAGCAAUAGGAAAUAUAACCAUUGCUCUAAAGAAGUUUGGUUUCUAUGGAAACUCGAUUAUUGCGUUUACUACUGAUAACGGAGGACAAGUUUAUGCUGGAGGAAACAACUGGCCCUUAAGAGGAAAUAAAGACACCUUAUGGGAAGGAGGAACAAGAGGUCCUGCCUUUGUACAUAGUCCGCUUCUGAACAGGACCGGCUUUGUAACAGAUAACCUAUUUCAUGCCGUUGAUUGGCUACCGACUUUACUUCACGUGGCUCAUGGUCAGGCUGAUCCAGGAAUUGAUGGAAUUGACCAAUGGAAUAUGAUUAAUGGAUACGGAACGCCACCUCGAAACGAAUUCAUCUACAACAUCUAUGAUACUAAUACAUCGAGAACCAGAGGAGCUAUCAGGGUUGGUGACUACAAAUUAAUUAUUGGAUCAGGAGGAAGCCCAAGUGGAUGGUUCCCGCCCCCUACCGUCAAUUGUACAAACUUGUCCAAUUACACUAUAUAUCAACAGAAUCCUCUGGAAGACCAAAUAUAUCUCUUUAACAUAAGAAAUGAUCCAACGGAACAUCACAAUCUAGUAACUUCAAGUCCACAUAUUGUAGACAAGCUAAGGCGCCGUCUUCUGCAACAUAAGGCAACCAUGAUCCCGGCAGAUGAUCCUCCAGAUGAUCCAAAAGGAAAUCCAAAACUUUGGAAUAAUAUUUUCUCUCCUGGGUGGUGCAAAGCAAAAGGAAUAAAACGAUUCUGAGCCUUUGCAUUGAAGAAACUAUUUUAUUUUCCAUAUCAGGCAGGUGGCAGCACUGCCUAUGUAGAGCCCGAGACCCCAGAAUAUACCUGAAUGGUGUUACCAGCCACACCCUCCCCAAAAUGCAGGAUUUACACUCUGACGGACAAAGGCUUUUCCACGACAGCAGUAUAACAAUCCACUGCCUUUGAAAUUGGCUUAAAAGAAGCGACAAUAAGCAUCUUUAAAAUAAACCUGAACUUCGCGUUUGUCUCUGUGGACAUCUGUGAACCAGCUGUUGAUCCUUCUCGACCAAUAGACCACGAUCAAAGAUACUUUCUGUCAUUUAAUGGAGUCUGUGCCUCGUUUAAUUCAGAGUAUUAUCGUGCCAAAAUUUGAUCUAACUUGAUAUUAGGUGCUGUUUGUAAUAAGUUACUAAAGAA
rnacentral:misc_RNA from 1 species